rnacentral:rRNA from 1 species
UACGAAGGGGGGCUAGCGUUGCUCGGAAUUACUGGGCGUAAAGCGUGCGCAGGCGGUUCGCUAAGACCGAUGUGAAAUCCCCGGGCUUAACCUGGGAACUGCAUUGGUGACUGGCGGGCUAGAGUAUGGCAGAGGGGGGUAGAAUUCCACGUGUAGCAGUGAAAUGCGUAGAGAUGUGGAGGAAUACCGAUGGCGAAGGCAGCCCCCUGGGCCAAUACUGACGCUCAUGCACGAAAGCGUGGGGAGCAAACAGG